ensembl:lncRNA
GGAGUGUGUUCGUGGGGCAUGCUAGAACAGGUCACGCUUUCAUGCUGAACCAGACACACACACACACACACACCCACAACUUGCCAUUCAGCGUGUACCUUUUGCUCCAGAGCUGUGUUGACCCCAGCUCCUCUCUCUCCCUCGCUCUCUCCGUGCUGCUUGUCUGUGUCUCUCUGCCACGUGGAAUAAGUGGCUGGGUGCUUGGCUCGGUGCUCAGGGACCUGGCCACCCUGACUGUGGUCGCUGAGCUCGGGCUCCCAGCAGGCGGAGGAGUGGCUGUAGCUCCAGCAGUUAGCGGGCUGCUGCUCACUGUUUGGCUCUCUGACCCGUGUUUUGGUUACCGAGGCGCUGGGCUUGUGCGCUGCUACGCUGCUGGCGGGAUGUUUAUCAAACAGCAGUAGAGCUGCUCGGAUCGGGACUCUUCUCUCGCUCCUUGAGGACGGAGAGGAGAUACGACAUGAGUGACUUUCACUACAGAGGAAGGUAAGGGCUUCUGUCCCGUGCACCUCGCUGGAAGUAUUCACUUCAAAGAAAAUCUCUCGUGUCCCGAGGUGGAGCGCGGCUCUCCUGUACAGAUGCAGAGCCUGCGGGAGUUUGAACAGCACCAGCGGUCUAGCUCCACUGCCGUCUGCCGCAGGAGAGACAGGGGUCUGUCUCCACUGCCGUCCGCCGCAGGAGAGACAGGGGUCUGUCUCCACUGCCGUCUGCCGCAGGAGAGACAGGGGUCUGUCUCCACUGCCGUCCGCAGGAGAGACAGGGGUCCAUCUCCACUGCCGUCCGCCGCAGGAGAGACGGGGGGAUUUUAGAACUCUUUGAACUUCUAUUCACUGGAAUAUUUUUUACUAAAACAGAGCAAUUAGAAUUACUAUUUUUUACAGUCUAUUUUGGACAUAUUUUAAAUAGUAAAAACAACAAACAAAUAUAAAUGUAUAUGUAGCUUCAUGGGCAAUUAUUGUGUAUAUAUUAUUAUUUUUAUACAUUUUGGAAAAUAAAUAUAAGCAAAACCUUUAAUGUUAAUUAUUUCAUGAUCAGAUGUCAUGAAUUCUGAGUGAUAUUGUUGAGAAUAAUUUUAAUUAUUAUUAUAUUAGCUUUUAAACACAAAGACCUGAGGUGUAGAUGUUUGGACAAUCGGGAUCUUCCACUGUCAUUCCUCUCCUCGUUUAAAGCUGAUAAUGAUACCUAACAUUGAAUAAUGCUAUUGUAUUGUGUUAGGCUAAUAUUAAUUUUGGAAUAUGUCACAGAUAACUCCAGCUUGUACCGCCUGCAUAGAAAUAAAUCCAAUUACAUAACCAUUACAAAUGUCAGAAAAUAAAUCUUCUAGUUGAUUUGAUUUCCACACAC